rnacentral:lncRNA from 1 species
AUGGACCAGAGAAACACUCUCUGUUUAAAGAGCGAGCUCCGCCGAACAAGGAAAGCCGCUUCCAGCUCUAGUGCUCAGGCGCCACGCCCCCGGCGCGCCAGCGCUCUUCCGGCCGGCGCACGCCCCGCGGCAACCAAUGGGCGCGAGGCGCCGGGACCGCGCAUGCCUCUUGCGGCUCCUCCGAGAAGUUGCUUCCUAGGUUCUGAGCCCGCACCCGCGGAGAUGAACCCUUUAACUAAAGUGAAGCUGAUUAAUGAGCUGAAUGAGCGUGAGGUCCAACUGGGGGUGGCGGAGAAGGUGUCUUGGCACAACGAGUACAAGGACAGCGCUUGGAUCUUCCUGGGGGGACUUCCUUAUGAACUGACUGAAGGGGACAUCAUUUGUGUGUUCUCACAAUACGGGGAGAUUGUUAACAUUAAUCUGGUACGAGACAAGAAGACUGGGAAAUCCAAAGGAUUCUGUUUCCUCUGCUAUGAAGACCAGAGGAGCACAGUUCUGGCUGUUGACAAUUUUAAUGGGAUCAAGAUCAAAGGAAGAACUAUCCGAGUGGAUCAUGUAUCUAACUAUCGACUUCCUGAGGACUCAGAAGAAAUGGAUGAGGUGACCAGAGAGCUGCAGGAGAGGGGCUGUGGGACUCAUACUCCUCCACCAAGUUCAUCUGAGGGCUCUGAAGAUGACAAACCCACCAAAAAACACAAAAAAGACAAAAAGGAAAAAAAGAAAAAAAAGAAAGACAAAGAGAAGACUGGCCAGGAGGUACAGGCAGAGCAGCCGGCCUCCUCUUCAUUGCCCAGAAGCAAGAUGAUAAAGGAAAAGGAUGACCCUGACUCUAAAAAGAACAGUGGCAAGCACUCAGAGAAGGCAGAGAAGGGUCAGAAGUCGGAGUCCAGGGAGGUGCGGAAGUCCCACCCCAGUUCCCCUGAGGUCAGGACGACCUGCCAUGGUGGAACGGAGGGCCGAGAGAGGGAGCCAAGAAAGGAGAAGUCCAAGCACGAACACAAGUCAUCAAGCAGGAGGGAAGAGAGAGAAGACAGGCACAGGGAGAGAGACAGGGGUCGAAGCUCAGACAUACACUCCAGACGGCAUGACGGGCGCUCUGAGGGGCAGCAUGACAGGCGCUCUGAGGGGCGUAGUCACAGGAGUAGAAGUAGGAGCCGAGAUAAAUCUCACCGGCACAAAAGGUCCCAGCACUCCCGAGACGGGGAGUCCUCUAAUCCCAGGGAGCGCAGGCAUCACUGAUACCUCAGCCUGUUCAGCCAUUCAGCAUGGUAGAAUUAAAAAUGAACUGUAUUUUUCAAAUACAAUGAAAUUCAGUUGUUAUUUUAGUAUAUUUACAUGUAAAGUCUCUGAGAAUGAAUUCUUUUGAACGCUUGAGUAUAAUAAUCAUCAAGAGAGCUGUAGUUUUUAACAGUUAAAUGUCCUGGAUUUUUGAGCAGAAUCCACUGUCCCUGGGAAUAUACUUGGUACUUUUGGUACUUACCAGAGCAUGUACCUAAAUCUGUGUUUAUAAAUAUGGCCAUUGAAUUCAUGACCCCAAUUUAUGAUGAAAUGGGCCAGAAGGGGAAAUACCAGACAGUUCUAGAAUUCCAGUCUUUGUGCUACAUGUUAAGAACCUUUCCAGUUGGCAGCUAUAACCACUGAGCAGAGAAGUGUGGCUUAACUAGAUUCAGACAGGUUGCUAUGAAUGUGAUAAGGAUUCUUAACAUCAGCCUGCUCCUUCCUUAUUUUUGCUUGACUGCCCCCUGUUUUUUGAAACUGUAGACAUCUUUUUUCAAUUUUGUUGUUUUUGUUUUGGUUGAUUUGUCUACAUUUUUUUCCUUAUAACUUAUUUAUUUUAUUGAGAAGAAAUUCACAUGAAAUUAACCAUUUAAACAUAUUUAUUUUUAAAUUUAAGGAUAAUUGCUUUAUAGAAUUCUGUUUUCUGUCAAACAUCAGCAUGAAUCAGCCAUAGGUGUACAUAUGUGCCCUCCCUCUUGAGCCUCCCAUCUCCCUCCCCAUCCCACCCCUCUAGGUUGAUACAGAGCCCCUCUGAGUUCCCUGAGACGUAACAGUAAAUUCCCAUUGGCUAUCUAUUUUACGUAUGUUAUUGAAAGUUUCCAUGUUACUCUCCAUACAUCUCACCCUCUCCUCCCCUCUCGCUGUGUCCAUAAGUCUGUUUUCUGUUUCUCCAUGUCUCCCUUGCAAAUUCAUCAGUACCAUCUUUCUAGAUUCUGUAUAUAUGCGUUAGUAUACAAUAUUUAUCUUGAAAUUGACCAUUUUAAAGGGAACAUUCAGUGCAGUUUGGUACAUUGACAGUGUUAUAAAACCACCAACCAUAUCUAGUUCCAAAAUAUUUUCAUCACCCCAGAAUGAAACCCUGUAUACCCAUUAAGCAGCUCCUCCCCAUCCCCUUGUCCUCUUUGUCCCUGGCAACUACCAAUCUGCUUUCCGUUUCCGUAGAUUUACCUAUUCUGGACAUUUCACGUAAGUAGAAUUGUACAUGUGGCCUUUUGUGUUUGAUGCCUUUCACUUAGUAUAAUAUUUUUGAGGUGCAUCCAUAUUGUAUCAGUGAAAAUGUUACUCAGUCGUGUCCAACUCUUUGUGAUCCCAUGGACUGUAGCCUUCCAGGCUCCUCUGUCCAUGGAAUUCUCCAGGCAAGAAUACUGGAGUGGGCAGCCAUUCCCUUCUUCAGACACCUCAUUCAUUUUUAUGGAUAAUGUCCCAUUGUAUGGAUAUUCCAUGUUUUGUUUGCCACUCCUGAGUGGCUAGACAUGUGGGUUGUUUCCACCUUUUGGCUAGCCAGGUGUACCAGCCUGCUUCUGUGCUUAGUCUGCUUUUCAAGUAGCUGUUCUUGGUGAGGUGGGAACACUUUGUCAGCUCCACUGUAUAUCUGUCUGGUCUGAUGGGUAGUUCUUUCUCAUUUUGAGAUUCUUUUUAUUUAUUUAUUUUAUUCUACUUAUUUAAUCAAUCCUUUAUGAAUUUGAUAGGAACAGUCCACAAAACCUUAAUACCUCUGCUGAAUUAUUAAAAUGGAAUUUCUGACACUGUAAAACAGAGGACUAGAGCUUUAAUAGUGAAUGUGCUAAGUUAAAUCAACUGAUGUGUUUGUAUGGGUCCUAGAUGAGAUGUGCACCUAGAUUGGUGGUUGGGAUGUCCAUGAAGGAGAGUGGGGAGGGAGCUGGUGGAGAUUGGGAAAGCUGUCAGACUGAUGUAUGUCUAACUUCUGGAGAAAAAAGGGAGGGAAAGAAGGAAGUUACAUAGGAAAAGUCUUAAGACUGCAGUGGAGCUCUAAGACUAUUUCAGCAAGACCAGUGGUGAGCCCUUGAUCAAGAGUCCACCUGUCAGAGGAGUCCCAGUAGAUGAGCCUUGGUAAACAGGCAUCCUUGCUGCUGGACCUCCAUCAGCCAUCGUGACCACUCUGCUCAUGUCCAUCGUGCCAGUUGUGUAGUAACUAACGAAGGCCCCUGCAUCUGGCUGAGUCAUCGUGUCUGCCUGGUGGUCCAGUGCCUCUUCCAUAACAGAUGGUUUCUGGUGGUGGUUAACAUAUGAUGCAGAAAUCGUCACACUUUGCAUGCUCCCAUGUGUCAGUCCACAGCCUUUGCAUCAGAUCGCCUUGUCUCUGAUCUUCCAGCCCUUUUCCUUCCAGGCUUCCAAUUGGAUGGUCAAGCCAUUGGCCACUUCCAGGAGUCUUACGUGUUCAAUAAACGGUCUCACUUUGGGCCA